rnacentral:rRNA from 1 species
UAACGCGUGAGCAACCUGCCCUUCGGAGGGGGAUAGUGUCUGGAAACGGACAGUAAUACCGCAUAACGUAUUUUUACCGCAUGAUAGAAAUACCAAAACUGAGGUGCCGAAGGAUGGGCUCGCGUUGGAUUAGAUAGUUGGUGGGGUAACGGCCUACCAAGUCAACGAUCCAUAGCCGGACUGAGAGGUUGAACGGCCACAUUGGGACUGAGACACGGCCCAGACUCCUACGGGAGGCAGCAGUGGGGAAUAUUGCACAAUGGGGGAAACCCUGAUGCAGCAACGCCGCGUGAAGGAAGACGGUUUUCGGAUUGUAAACUUCUGUUCUUAGUGAAGAAAANUGACGGUAGCUAAGGAGCAAGCCACGGCUAACUACGUGCCAGCAGCCGCGGUAAUACGUAGGUGGCAAGCGUUGUCCGGAAUUACUGGGUGUAAAGGGAGCGCAGGCGGGAAGCCAAGUCAGCUGUGAAAACUACGGGCUUAACUUGUAGACUGCAGUUGAAACUGGUUUUCUUGAGUGAAGUAGAGGUUGGCGGAAUUCCGAGUGUAGCGGUGAAAUGCGUAGAUAUUCGGAGGAACACCGGUGGCGAAGGCGGCCAACUGGGCUUUAACUGACGCUGAGGCUCGAAAGUGUGGGGAGCAAACAGGAUUAGAUACCCUGGUAGUCCACGCCGUAAACGAUGAUUACCAGGUGUCGCGGU